AAGCAGGGCAAUUUGUCUUUAAGUAGGGGUAAAUUACUCUUGGACAAAAUCAUCCCUUCAAGUCAAUCCUCUUGU
rnacentral:pre_miRNA from 1 species